rnacentral:lncRNA from 1 species
CCCCGCAAUUUGAUCAGUUCGUCUUCAUACUGUAUGUAUUUUAUACUAAAUAUAAGUUCAAACUUAGAAGGUACUUGUACUAAGCACAGUAAAAGUCCAAUAAAGUUUUUAAUAUUUGCUGAAUUUAAAUAUUUUGUGAGUUUUGAAACUUGUGGGGGAUUGUUGACUCUUCGAAGUUUCAAAACUCCUUCCACAUGCUCUCUGCAUUUGCGCGUUUGUUCACGCCGUUCGGCCGUUCUAUGAGAAGAUCGCGCGGCAACAUUUUGUGCGGCCGUUUCGCGAACUCUCUACGUGCAGGAGGCAGUUUCGCAUGCUGUUCUCGCACACAAAGCUUCCGCAGUCGUCUGCGCCUAUAAAAGGCGUCCCCUUUCUCAGUUUUCAAACGAAAAAAAAUACCAAGUAUUCUUAUCUUCAAAAAUUCUCUCACAUCUUCAAAAAUUCUCUCUCUCCGUGCUCUUUCUUUUUCGUUCAUUUUGUUGAUUGGACUGAGGACGAAGGUGAUCGACGUCCGUUCGAGAUCAUGCCACCAACGAGCGUUAGAGUGCUUGACUUCCGGAUUGUACCUUGGAGGAGGGUGUACGGCUUAGAUCUUUGCACGAAAAGAGGCCGGAAUCUCCUUUAGGAUAGUGAUUUAUCCGUCUCCCGAGCUAAGUUCUAUUUAUUUUAUUUUUUUCACAUCAUAUUUAAUUGUAUCACAUACAUCACAGAAAAAAAUAUUUUAAUAUAUAUAUUUUUUUGAUUGGCAUCUAAAUUACAAAUAAUUUUUUUUUAAUCUAUUUUAUUAUUUUUUUCUAUCUUAAGCUUACUUUUUAAGAUAAUUUUUUUUAAUUAGUUCAUUUUUUUUGUACUUUCAAUUUUUUUUAUAUAUAUUACUUCAUAUAUUUCCAAUAACAACCUUGGCACCCCUCUUUUUGGGAAUGCAAGGCGAGAAACUUUUAGUUCUCGAAUCACGCUUCUUCCUCUCCUUCCUUUCAGGGGUCUGCGCUGCAGAGCCCGUGACCUUAGAAUGGGGCUUGGGAUCUCCACUUCCGUCGGGUUCUUUUACCUCGAGGCCGCAAGAUGGAUCGGCAGCGUCACUGGGGAUCAAGAACUUGGUCGGAAUAGAUUGGUCAUCACCGCAGAUAUCCAAGACCAAUCCAACAUAAAAUUCUACUCCUCGUUUCCUGUUGGGAGAAAGGCCAUCUAGAUC